AGUCCUGUGGUGUAGUGGCCAAUCAUGUAGCCUUCUGGGGGCUACGACGGAGGUUCGAAUCCUCCCGGGACUA
rnacentral:tRNA from 1 species